rnacentral:rRNA from 1 species
UGGGGAAUAUUGGACAAUGGGCGAAAGCCUGAUCCAGCCAUGCCGCGUGUGUGAAGAAGGUCUUCGGAUUGUAAAGCACUUUAAGUUGGGAGGAAGGGCAGUAAGCGAAUACCUUGCUGUUUUGACGUUACCGACAGAAUAAGCACCGGCUAACUCUGUGCCAGCAGCCGCGGUAAUACAGAGGGUGCAAGCGUUAAUCGGAAUUACUGGGCGUAAAGCGCGCGUAGGUGGUUCGUUAAGUUGAAUGUGAAAGCCCCGGGCUCAACCUGGGAACUGCAUCCAAAACUGGCGAGCUAGAGUAGAGCAGAGGGUGGUGGAAUUUCCUGUGUAGCGGUGAAAUGCGUAGAUAUAGGAAGGAACGCCAGUGGCGAAGGCGACCACCUGGGCUCAUACUGACACUGAGGUGCGAAAGCGUGGGGAGCAAACAGG